rnacentral:rRNA from 1 species
GAGCCCAAGAUUGAAAGCUGGCGUCUUCGGCGUCCGCAUUGUAAUCUCAAGAAGUGUUUUCCGCUUCGGACCAAGCCUAAGUCCCCUGGAAAGGGGCAUCAUAGAGGGUGAUAAUCCCGUAUAUGGCUUGGAGCGCCCGAGGCUUUGUGAUACGCUUUCUAAGAGUCGAGUUGUUUGGGAAUGCAGCUCAAAAUGGGUGGUAAAUGCCAUCUAAGGCUAAAUAUUGGGGAGAGACCGAUAGCGAACAAGUACAGCGAUGGAAAGAUGAAAAGAACUUUGAAAAGAGAGUUAAACAGUACGUGAAAUUGCCAAAAGGGAAGGGUAGGAGGUCAGAGAUGCGGCCUGGGAUUCAGCCUUGCUUUUGCUUGGUGUUUUUCCCAGAUUGCAGGCCAACGUCGGUUUUGGGCACUGGAGAAGGGUAGGAGGAACGUGGCACCCCUCGGGGUGUGUUAUAGCCUCCUACUGGAUACAGCGACCGAGACCGAGGACAGCAGCGUACUCGCAAGAGCGGGCCUUCGGGCACCUUUACGCUUAGGGCGUUGGCAUAAUGGCCCUCUACCACCCGUCUU